AUCUCAGUUCGGAUUGCAGGCUGCAACUCGCCUGCAUGAAGCUGGAAUUGCUAGUAAUCGCGGAUCAGCAAGCCGCGGUGAAUACGUUCCCGGGCCUUGUACACACCGCCCGUCACACCAUGAGAGUCGGGAACACCCGAAGUCCGUAGUCUAACCGCAAGGGGGGCGCGGCCGAAGGUGGGUCCGGUAAUUGGGGUGAAGUCGUAACAAGGUAUC
rnacentral:rRNA from 1 species